UACGAAGGGUGCAAGCGUUACUCGGAAUUACUGGGCGUAAAGCGUGCGUAGGCGGUUUGUUAAGUCCGUUGUGAAAGCCCUGGGCUCAACCUGGGAAUUGCAGUGGAUACUGGCAAGCUAGAGUACGGUAGAGGAUGGUGGAAUUCCCGGUGUAGCGGUGAAAUGCGUAGAGAUCGGGAGGAACACCCGUGGCGAAGGCGGCUCACUGGCCCGGUACUGACGCUGAGGUGCGAAAGCGUGGGGAGCAAACAGG
rnacentral:rRNA from 1 species